GACGAACGCUGGCGGCGUGCUUAACACAUGCAAGUUGGACGGUGCGACAUGGAAGCUUGCUGAAGUGUCGUACAGUAGCGAACGGGUGAGUAAUGCAUGAGAAUCUGCCCUUUGGAGGGGGACAACAGCUGGAAACGGCUGCUAAUACCCCGUAAGCCGGGAGGUGAAAGGUACGCGAGUACUGCCGGGGGAUGAGCUCAUGUCCUAUCAGCUGGUUGGCGGGGUAACGGCCCACCAAGGCGACGACGGGUAGCCGGCCUGAGAGGGUGACCGGCCACACUGGAACUGAGACACGGUCCAGACUCCUACGGGAGGCAGCAGUGGGGAAUUUUGGGCAAUGGGGGAGACCCUGACCCAGCGACGCCGCGUGAGGGAAGACGGCCUGGUUGUAACUCUUUGUACGGUAAGAUAAUGACGGUACUGUACGAAUAAGUACCGGCUAACUACGUG
rnacentral:rRNA from 1 species